UUUCCGGUUGAUCCCGCCGGACCUGACUGCUAUCGGAUUGAUACUAAGCCAUGCGAGUCUUUGUAGUAAUACAAGGCAUACGGCUCAGUAACACGUAGUCAACCUACCCUAUGGACGAGAAUAAUCUCGGGAAACUGAGCAUAAUUCUUGAUAGAUCAUAAUGCCUGGAAUGGUUUAUGGUUAAAAUGAUUCGUCGCCAUAGGAUGGGACUGCGGCCUAUCAGCUUGUUGGUGAGGUAAUGGCCCACCAAGGCGAUUACAGGUACGGGCUCUGAGAGGAGAAGCCCGGAGAUGGGUACUGAGACACGGACCCAGGCCCUAUGGGGCGCAGCAGGCGAGAAAACUUUGCAAUGCGCGAAAGCACGACAAGGUUAAUCCGAGUGAUUCCUGCUAAAGAAAUCUUUUGUCAGUCAUAAAACCACUGGCGAAUAAGGGGUGGGCAAGUUCUGGUGUCAGCCGCCGCGGUAAAACCAGCACCUCAAGUGGUCAGGAUGAUUAUUGGGCCUAAAGCAUCCGUAGCCGGCUUUGUUAGUUUUCGGUUAAAUCCAUGUGCUCAACGCAUGGGCUGCCGAAAAUACUGCAUGGCUAGGGAGUGGGAGAGGUAGACGGUACUCAGUAGGAAGGGGUAAAAUCCUUUGAUCUAUUGAUGACCACCUGUGGCGAAGGCGGUCUACCAGAACACGUUCGACGGUGAGGGAUGAAAGCUGGGGGAGCAAACCGGAUUAGAUACCCGGGUAGUCCCAGCUGUAAACGAUGCAGACUCGAUGAUGCAUUGGCAUAAUAGCCAGUGCAGUGUCGCAGGGAAGCCGUUAAGUCUGCCGCCUGGGAAGUACGUACGCAAGUAUGAAACUUAAAGGAAUUGGCGGGGGAGCACCACAAGGGGUGAAGCCUGCGGUUCAAUUGGAUUCAACGCCGGG
rnacentral:rRNA from 1 species